UUAUCCCGCUUAGUGAUGAUAACAUAGUUCAGUUGAUUGUCAGUGAUGAAUUUCAAAGCAUUUUUUUGUCUUUCGCUCCUAUCUGACGCGAGAG